AGACAGUGAUGUGAAGCGAAUCCCAAAAAUAACGUCUCAGUUCGGAUUGUAGUCUGCAACUCGACUACAUGAAGCUGGAAUCGCUAGUAAUCGCGAAUCAGAAUGUCGCGGUGAAUACGUUCCCGGGUCUUGUACACACCGCCCGUCACACCAUGGGAGUCGGGAACACCCGAAGUCCGUAGUCUAACCGCAAGGAGGGCGCGGCCGAAGGUGGGUCCGGUAAUUGGGGUGAAGUCGUAACAAGGUAGC
rnacentral:rRNA from 1 species